AGCGCCGGGACUGUGAGAUGGCCAAUGACGGUCUGACCCGUUGGGCCGGGCCAGGUCGCGGACAACGUCGACCGUUUGUUUAAGAAGCGUGGACUCUUGUCCUGAGUGCACCGAGGCUUUCAGCCUGCGGGACAGUGGUGCGAUUUGCAUUAGAGAAAGGGAGAUGCCAUGUGCUGGCCCAGCACUCCAACAGGGGCCUGACCUCUAGGAACGGGACACUGGAGGAAGCCUAGACAUCUGAACAAAUCAAGUCAUCCAGAUCCACGGUCAGCUCCUGCCCCGACUUGGCCUUCCUCCUGCUGGGCUGGCCCACGGACCUCGGGAACCUGCCCUGGCUGUGGGUGACCUGCAGCCUAUCUCCCAGGACUAUGGAAGCCCCAUGCAGGAACAUGGUUCUGACACUUUGGGGAUUAUACCCUAAGCUUAAAGGACUGGAAAAGCCCCUGAAGUCCCGAGACCACAACCCUCCACCUUCUAAAGAUAAGACAAGUCACUGAAGGUCUCAGAACUGUGGCCCAUUCACCCCUUCCCUCAAGACAAGAGUGUGGCCAAGCAUCAAUCUCACCCCCAGAGACCAGACGGUGUCCAGGUCUUGGGCAGACGAAACCUGCUCCUUGGGGAUGGUCUUCCUGGCUGUGCUUCCAAAGGGCUGGCCUGCAAUCAGCUGGUUUUCACUUGAUCCUUUCGGGGUUUGCAUUAUAUCUGACUGAAGGAAUGAACUGGGAGAGAACAGCAGAGC
rnacentral:lncRNA from 1 species